rnacentral:lncRNA from 1 species
ACUUCCGUGUCACCCUUUGGUACUCAGAGCCUUCCCAACUGCUCCUCCUCAAGAACUUUCUACCACCAGGGCUUUUCUCACCAUCAGUGGGAUUGGCAAACUCCUUGGGGACAGCGGCUCCAUCAUCCAGCUCGAUGGCUUCUAGGCCCACUCGGACCCCCUCAAUCUGGAUGUCAUGCUCCCCGGAAGCCGCAUCGUCCUCUGACCGAGCACUCUCCCCUGUGCGUCGGAAUUUCACCACCCUGGAGACGGAAGCAGACGUGAUUGGGAUGGCCAGGGUGCUCACCCGAUGGCCUUGCUGUGGGGCCUUCCCACCCGAGGCAGGUAUUGUUUCUGAACGGCUCCUACCCACACCUGGAAGCUCCUCUUCAUCUCUUUGCUGUGGAGAAUCACGAUCCCCGAGCAGCCCUGGGUUGUACACGCAUCUGAAACAGCUGUCACAGCUAGGAAUGUGGCAUACUCGAUGCCCACCUUGUCUCCCAGGCCAGCGCUGUGUGGCAGAACCUGGCAGACCAGUGCCGUUACAGGAAACGUCUACAUGUGUGCCCCACACAGAGGUGGUCCCUAGCUACAGGUAGCUAUCGUGAUGCAGUGUGCAUUUGAAAUCAAAGGGGCAGAUUUUGUAUA